rnacentral:rRNA from 1 species
UACGGAGGAUGCAAGCGUUAUCCGGAAUGAUUGGGCGUAAAGCGUCCGCAGGUGGCUAUGUAAGUCUGCUGUUAAAGAGUGAGGCUCAACCUCAUAAGAGCAGUGGAAACUACAUGGCUAGAGUGCGUUCGGGGCAGAGGGAAUUCCUGGUGUAGCGGUGAAAUGCGUAGAUAUCAGGAAGAACACCGGUGGCGAAAGCGCUCUGCUAGGCCGCAACUGACACUGAGGGACGACAGCGUGGGGAGCAAACAGG